rnacentral:rRNA from 1 species
GACAGAGGGUGCAAACGUUGCUCGGAAUCACUGGGCGUAAAGGGCGCGUAGGCGGGCAUGUAAGUCGGGCGUGAAAUCCCCAGGCUCAACCUGGGAACUGCACUCGAAACUGCGUUUCUUGAGUAUCGGAGAGGAAAGCGGAAUUCCUGGUGUAGAGGUGAAAUUCGUAGAUAUCAGGAGGAACACCAGUGGCGAAGGCGGCUUUCUGGACGGUAACUGACGCUGAGGCGCGAAAGCGUGGGGAGCGAACAGG